rnacentral:misc_RNA from 1 species
GAUGAAGAACGGAGCGAAAUGCGAUAAGUAGUGUGAAUUGCAGAAUUCAGUGAAUCAUCGAAUCUUUGAACGCACAUUGCGCCCCUUGGUAUCCCGAGGGGCAUGCCUGUUCGAGCGUCAUUUCACCACUCAAGCCUGGCUUGGUGUUGGGCGACGUCCUCUUUGGGGACGCGCCUCGAAACGCUCGGCGGCGUGGCACCGGCUUUAAGCGUAGCAGAAUCUUUCGCUUUGGAAGUCGGGGCCCCGUCUGCCGGAAGACCUGCUCGCAAGGUUGACCUCGGAUCAGGCAGGGAUACCCGCUGAACUUAAGCAUAUCAAUAAGCGGAGGA